AAAAUCUUUUCUCCCUAACAACAGGACUUCAGUUUAGUUGAGGGUAACAAUGUACCUCCAUUGUGAAACAGAUCUACAGAAUGAGAUAUAAGUGGAAAUACUGGUGGUGCUUCCAUCAAAGCUCAAGACAGCCAGGUUAAGUUGGCACAUACCUUCUGUCUUUUGUCUUCCCAUCUUCCUGCCUGGGACAUUGAUGUAAUGUUCAGGAUGGACAUGCGUCUUGUGACUAUGAGGUGACAAUGAUGUUAAUGACAUCUGAGUGGAAAGAAGAUGAAGCCUAGAUUCCUGAACACAUUCAGACCUGCCACAGCAACCUAGCUCUGAACUCCCUUCAAACAGAAUUUCACUCUUGUGGCCCAGGCUGGAGUGCAAUGGCGUGAUCUCAGCUCACUGCAACUUCUACCUCUCGGAUUCAAGUGAUUCUCCUGCCUCAGCCUCCCAGGUAGCUGGGUUUA
rnacentral:lncRNA from 1 species